rnacentral:pre_miRNA from 1 species
AUGGUACUCUCUUCGUCCUGAAAAGAAUGUCUCAAAUGUGUUAAAAUUUGGAUGUAUCUAAUCACUAUUUAGUGUACGGAUACAACAAAAUUUAGAUAAAUCUGCGAGAUCCUUUUCUAGGACGGAGUAAGUAUAAU